rnacentral:lncRNA from 1 species
UGCCCUCCUCGGUGCAGGCUGCGGCCCUCAGCAACCUGCAAGGAGGGCAGGGCCAGCAGUGCCUGCAGCAGAGGGAAAAGGGGCGCACGGCACCCGGCGCCAGCAGCUCCCUGCCUCUCAGCACGACCCCCCAGGGCUCUGUGACCCGGGACCUGGCCACAUGGCUUGCUCAGCCCCUGGGAAGGGCAGGGAAGGAUGCCCGACCCAGAGAGGGCCAACAGAGCCAACAGAGCCCCCCGCCCUGGCGUCGAAGAAGCCAGAAGCACCCCUCGCCCUCAGCCAGGGUGAAGGGCUGGCCUCACCCAAACCACAGGAGACCGCAGGGCUGCAGAAGCAAUGUGGGGCUGGACAGGGAGGUGGGCAGCGCCUGGAACCUGACGACAGAACUGCGCCUGGAAGCGCGGGCCGCGCGGCGCUGAAAACCGAGGGGGCGGAGGCGGGAGGGCUCGGCUCAGGCGGCAGCCUUCCCUCCGCUGGCGUGGACCCUGGGGACGCCGGGCAGGGUGGAGCCAACGUUCCCUCCCCCCAGGUUGGGAGCCCCUUGGGGCAGGGUCACAGGAUGACCCACCGCUGGCCAGCCGCCUGGGGCUCCGCGCGGCGCUGGGCAGGAGGCAGGUCUGACCGUGCAGCCUGUCCCCAUCUGUGCGUGUCUGGACUCAGGCGCCGGACACCGCGGCCACAGGGCAAUGGUCCGUAUUGGGGGCAGAGGGAUGCCUCCAUCUGGGCGGCGGGAGCGCCGGCCGAUUCUACUCAGCUCACCAGCGCCCACACGCGCCCCGGCAGGGUCGCUUUCCGCGUGUGCACCCCGAUGCCCCUCUGGUCCGGAUGGACACAGGUUCCCCGGCGGCCUUCAGGGGAGGAGGGGGCGGGCCGAGGAGGGCCGAGGGCGGGGCUGCGUGGCCAGAGUCCCUUUCGCUUUCCCUUUUGUUCUCCCCAAGAGCCGCCGAACUUCCCACUGCCUUGAGCUCUGCGGACGCUCUAACGGUCGACGGGCACGCAGGAAGCGGAUGAGCUGCAGGGGCGCCCCGUGAACGAGAAGCCCCGUGCGCCAUGCAGUCCCCGCCCGACUGGCCGCCUGCGCCCGGCGCCCUGCAGCCCUCGCCGUUCCCGCACCCGGCGCUGCACGCCCUCCACGGCCUGGCCCGCGCGCUGCUCUUCCCGGCGUACUGGGCGCUGGACCAGCU